rnacentral:rRNA from 1 species
UGUUUCGGCAAGGGGGUCAUCCCGACUUACCAACCCGAUGCAAACUGCGAAUACCGGAGAAUGUUAUCACGGGAGACACACGGCGGGUGCUAACGUCCGUCGUGAAGAGGGAAACAACCCAGACCGCCAGCUAAGGUCCCAAAGUCAUGGUUAAGUGGGAAACGAUGUGGGAAGGCCCAGACAGCCAGGAUGUUGGCUUAGAAGCAGCCAUCAUUUAAAGAAAGCGUAAUAGCUCACUGGUCGAGUCGGCCUGCGCGGAAGAUGUAACGGGGCUAAACCAUGCACCGAAGCUGCGGCAGCGACGCUGAUGCGUUGUUGGGUAGGGGAGCGUUCUGUAAGCCUGCGAAGGUGUGCUGUGAGGCAUGCUGGAGGUAUCAGAAGUGCGAAUGCUGACAUAAGUAACGAUAAAGCGGGUGAAAAGCCCGCUCGCCGGAAGACCAAGGGUUCCUGUCCAACGUUAAUCGGGGCAGGGUGAGUCGACCCCUAAGGCGAGGCCGAAAGGCGUAGUCGAUGGGAAACAGGUUAAUAUUCCUGUACUUGGUGUUACUGCGAAGGGGGGACGGAGAAGGCUAUGUUGGCCGGGCGACGGUUGUCCCGGUUUAAGCGUGUAGGCUGGUUUUCCAGGCAAAUCCGGAAAAUCAAGGCUGAGGCGUGAUGACGAGGCACUACGGUGCUGAAGCAACAAAUGCCCUGCUUCCAGGAAAAGCCUCUAAGCAUCAGGUAACAUCAAAUCGUACCCCAAACCGACACAGGUGGUCAGGUAGAGAAUACCAAGGCGCUUGAGAGAACUCGGGUGAAGGAACUAGGCAAAAUGGUGCCGUAACUUCGGGAGAAGGCACGCUGAUAUGUAGGUGAAGUCCCUUGCGGAUGGAGCUGAAAUCAGUCGAAGAUACCAGCUGGCUGCAACUGUUUAUUAAAAACACAGCACUGUGCAAACACGAAAGUGGACGUAUACGGUGUGACGCCUGCCCGGUGC